rnacentral:misc_RNA from 1 species
AAAUUUUCUGGCUUCAUAUAUAUACAACAGUUGAGUCUUCCUUUUGUAUAGCACUGAAUGUCGGUUUUCGUUUACUCUUUCACUGCUAAACUCCAUCUCCCUCACAAUCUCUCUUCUUCUUCCUCAUAUUUCCCUUCUAGAAUCUUCUUUCGCUUUCAAUCUCGUUCCCUCACAUACAGUACCUCGCUAUUCUCUUCACUCAUGCCAAACAAUCAGAGAAAGGGUGGUUAUAAAGAAAAAAAAUGGCAAGUGAGGACAAGUUCCAAUAGGGUACCAGGUUCGUCUUCAAAUGUCGAACCUGCAUCUCCUGCAUCUCCUGCAUCUCCUGGAGCCAUUGCUGACCGUCUAAAUUCCUUGA